rnacentral:rRNA from 1 species
GACGAACGCUGGCGGCGUGCCUAAUACAUGCAAGUGUAACGCUGAAGGAGGAGCUUGCUUCUCUGGAUGAGUUGCGAACGGGUGAGUAACGCGUAGGUAACCUGCCUGGUAGCGGGGGAUAACUAUUGGAAACGAUAGCUAAUACCGCAUAAGAGUAGAUGUUGCAUGACAUUUGCUUAAAAGGUGCAAUUGCAUCACUACCAGAUGGACCUGCGUUGUAUUAGCUAGUUGGUGAGGUAACGGCUCACCAAGGCAACGAUACAUAGCCGACCUGAGAGGGUGAUCGGCCACACUGGGACUGAGACACGGCCCAGACUCCUACGGGAGGCAGCAGUAGGGAAUCUUCGGCAAUGGACGGAAGUCUGACCGAGCAACGCCGCGUGAGUGAAGAAGGUUUUCGGAUCGUAAAGCUCUGUUGUAAGAGAAGAACGAGUGUGAGAGUGGAAAGUUCACACUGUGACGGUAUCUUACCAGAAAGGGACGGCUAACUACGUG